GAGGGACAGCCCCAGAAACACUCCCCAGCAGCUGGUUCAAAUCUGUAUCAUUCUGACAGUCAAGUGAAGCGAUGAUGGCAGGGACAGUAGGGCAGUGGCAGGGGCUUGUGCAGGCGCAGAGGAGCCCCAGGUAGAGCUGGUGUCUCCUCAUGCGGGGGCGUUCAAUCUGAGUCUCAGAGGAUGAUACUCUAGACAUGGCUUUUUUUGGCUUCAAGGAAUAAACAUCUCUUCAAACUAGCAAAGGUGAAAAAGAAACUUCUACUGAGAGGACUGAGGGAUCUCAUGGGG
rnacentral:lncRNA from 1 species